rnacentral:lncRNA from 1 species
AUGGGUUCCAUACUACGCCCAAUCCUUCCUUCAUCGCAGAAUGUUUCUUUUGAAACGAAACGGACAAGUUCACCCGCAAGAUUUCGCCGACUGCUUCUCUCCUUCAUAAGCUGCUGGCUAUUUAGCCUACUACCUCUUUAUCUGAGUUAAAGCAAUCACCAUCAAGGGAACCAUCGUGAGCAGCUGAGUUUUAAUUCCACAAGGGUUUAUUUGAAACACAAUUGCGGCGGGCCAAGAGUAGUGAUCUUGUGAUGUGUUUCCACGAGGAGAAGCGGAGAAGUUCUACAAGGUAUUAUAACUAUCUCGUGUUGGUGCUUGUGGAAGGCUCGAAACAAGUCGGUGUUCUCGGCGACUCAAGUCAAGGUGGAAGACAUCUUUAGCGAAGUUAGACCGGUGGGGUUAUUAUGGUUUAAGUAUAGAUCAAAGUUUAAUUCUAUUUCAUGGUCGAUUGGUGUAAAUUUGUAAUUAUGUAG